GACGUAGGGCGCGAGCGUUGUCCGGAUUUAUUGGGCGUAAAAGAGCUCGUAGGCGGCUUUGUCGCGUCGACUGUGAAAUCCCGCGGCUCAACUGCGGGUCUGCAGUCGAUACGGGCAGGCUAGAGUUCGGUAGGGGAGACUGGAAUUCCUGGUGUAGCGGUGAAAUGCGCAGAUAUCAGGAGGAACACCGGUGGCGAAGGCGGGUCUCUGGGCCGAUACUGACGCUGAGGAGCGAAAGCGUGGGGAGCGAACAGG
rnacentral:rRNA from 1 species